UACAGAGGUCUCAAGCGUUGUUCGGAUUCAUUGGGCGUAAAGGGUGUGUAGGUGGCGCCGUAAGUCGGGUGUGAAAUCUCGGAGCUUAACUCCGAAACUGCAUUCGAUACUGCCGUGCUUGAGGACUGGAGAGGAGACUGGAAUUUACGGUGUAGCGGUGAAAUGCGUAGAUAUCGUGAGGAAGACCAGUGGCGAAGGCGGAUCUCUGGACAGUUCCUGACGCUGAGGCACGAAGGCCAGGGGAGCAAACGGG
rnacentral:rRNA from 1 species